UUCAGACAAUUGCUUUCGGACAACGAAGGUUCAGUUUCAGACAUUAGUAUCAAUUUCGAGAUCAAGAGAUUCAUAUAACCCCGCAUCGUGUCUGUGUAUCCGGAAGAAAGUCGUCUCCUUUAUCUGUUACUCUCAGAGUAGUUUCAUCAAAUGGCGUAUGGGAAAGAGCUUGAUGCCGCUAAGAAAGCUGCUUCACUCGCAGCUCGUCUCUGUCAGAAAGUUCAAAAGGCUUUGUUGCAGUCUGAUGUUCAAUCAAAAUCUGAUAAAAGUCCAGUCACCGUUGCUGAUUAUGGUUCACAAGCAGUUGUUAGUUUACUCUUACAAAGAGAACUCAGUUCUGUACUCUUUUCAUUGGUGGCUGAAGAGGACUCAGCUGAUCUACGCAAGGAUGGUUCUCAGGAUAUUCUUGAGCGCAUCACAAAACUCGUCAACGACACAUUGGCUACUGAGGAUCUACUCAAACCCAUUGACUCUACUUUAUCAACAGAUGAUAUUCUCAGAGCCAUUGACUGUGGCACUUCCGAAGGUGGUCCUAACGGUCGACACUGGGUCUUGGACCCUAUUGAUGGCACUAAAGGUUUUUUGAGGGGAGAUCAGUAUGCAGUAGCAUUAGGAUUGCUAGAGGAAGGAAAAGUAGUGUUGGGUGUGCUUGCUUGUCCAAACUUGCCAUUAGCUUCCAUAGCAGGAAACAAUAACUCUUCUUCUUCAGACGAGAAAGGAUGUCUCUUCUAUGCUACAAUCGGUUCAGGGACAUACAUGCAGCCUUUAGAUUCGAACUCUGAACCAGUCAAAGUACAUGUCUCUAGCGUUGAGAAUCCUGCAGAUGCAUCCUUCUUUGAGUCAUUUGAAGGAGCUCACUCUCUUCAUGAUCUAUCCAGCUCCAUUGCCAAUAAACUCGGUGUGAAAGCGCCACCUGUCAGGAUAGAUAGCCAAGCGAAGUAUGGAGCAUUAUCAAGAGGAGAUGGAGCUAUAUACUUGAGGUUCCCUCAUAAAGGAUACCGUGAGAAGAUUUGGGACCAUGUAGCUGGUGCUAUAGUUGUUACAGAGGCUGGUGGGAUCGUGACGGAUGCAGGUGGAAAGGCAUUGGAUUUCUCGAAAGGGAAGUAUCUUGAUUUGGACACUGGCAUUUAGUUGCUAAUGAGAAGAUAAUGCCUCUGCUUUUGAAAGCAGUUCGUGACUCCAUUGCUGAGCAAGAGAAACCUUCAUCUCUCUGAUUCUUUCUUCUUUCCUUGUUUGUGUUUUAUUUCUUUGUAACUCUUUGUUUCGCAACGAAUAAUGUUUCAUUACACACUGAGAGUUUUCUUCCAUUUUCU